rnacentral:rRNA from 1 species
UAGUAGUCAUACGCUCGUCUCAAAGAUUAAGCCAUGCAUGUGUAAGUAUAAAUAGUUAACUUUGAAACUGCGAAUGGCUCAUUAUAUCAGUUAUAGUUUAUUUGAUGAAGAAUACUAAUUGGAUAACCGUAGUAAUUCUAGAGCUAAUACAUGUAUAAAGUCUUGUAGACUGCAUUUAUUAGAAUGAAAACCAUAGGUUUCGGCCUAUUCGUGAGUAAUAAUAACUAAUCAUAUCGUAUGCUUAUGUAACGAUGUGUCUUUCAAGUUUCUGCCCCAUCAGCUUUCGAUGGUAGUGUAUUGGACUACCAUGGCAGUAACGGGUAACGAAGAA